rnacentral:rRNA from 1 species
UAAGGAAUAUUGGUCAAUGGGCGGAAGCCUGAACCAGCCAUGCCGCGUGCAGGAAGACGGCCCUACGGGUUGUAAACUGCUUUUGCAGGGGAAUAAACCUCGAUACGUGUAUCGAGCUGAAUGUACUCUGAGAAUAAGGAUCGGCUAACUCCGUGCCAGCAGCCGCGGUAAUACGGAGGAUCCAAGCGUUAUCCGGAUUUAUUGGGUUUAAAGGGUGCGUAGGUGGUUUUUUAAGUCAGGGGUGAAAGACGGCAGCUUAACUGUCGCAGUGCCUUUGAUACUGAAGAACUUGAAUUAACUAGAGGUAGGCGGAAUGUGACAAGUAGCGGUGAAAUGCAUAGAUAUGUCACAGAACACCAAUUGCGAAGGCAGCUUACUAUGGUUAUAUUGACACUGAGGCACGAAAGCGUGGGGAUCAAACA